ensembl:scaRNA Gm25434 small Cajal body-specific RNA 16
AAGACCCAAAGAGAGAGGUUUGAUGGAUACAUCCCAUUUAGCGAACCCCAAAUUUGAACUAGAGUAAAUUUCCAGGGGAACAUCUUACCUGGGAUCAGAAUUUACAACUAAGAGAUGUGAACAUUAUAGCAGCUGUUUGAUGAUCAUGUAUGAUACUGAAAAUAGGA